GACGAACGCUGGCGGCGUGCUUAACACAUGCCAGUCGAACGGAAAGGCCCUGCUUUUGUGGGGUGCUCGAGUGGCGAACGGGUGAGUAACACGUGAGUAACCUGCCCUUGACUUUGGGAUAACUUCAGGAAACUGGGGCUAAUACCGGAUAGGAGCUCCUGUUGCAUGGUGGGGGUUGGAAAGUUUCGGCGGUUGGGGAUGGACUCGCGGCUUAUCAGCUUGUUGGUGGGGUAGUGGCUUACCAAGGCUUUGACGGGUAGCCGGCCUGGGAGGGUGACCGGCCACAUUGGGACUGAGAUACGGCCCAGACUCCUACGGGAGGCAGCAGUGGGGAAUAUUGCACAAUGGGCGGAAGCCUGAUGCAGCAACGCCGCGUGCGGGAUGACGGCCUUCGGGUUGUAAACCGCUUUCGCCUGUGACGAAGCGUGAGUGACGGUAAUGGGUAAAGAAGCACCGGCUAACUACGUG
rnacentral:rRNA from 1 species